rnacentral:rRNA from 1 species
GAUGAACGCUGGCGGCGUGCCUAAUACAUGCAAGUCGAGCGAACAGACGAGGAGCUUGCUCCUCUGACGUUAGCGGCGGACGGGUGAGUAACACGUGGAUAACCUACCUAUAAGACUGGGAUAACUUCGGGAAACCGGAGCUAAUACCGGAUAAUAUAUUGAACCGCAUGGUUCAAUAGUGAAAGACGGUUUUGCUGUCACUUAUAGAUGGAUCCGCGCCGCAUUAGCUAGUUGGUAAGGUAACGGCUUACCAAGGCAACGAUGCGUAGCCGACCUGAGAGGGUGAUCGGCCACACUGGAGCUGAGACACGGUCCAGACUCCUACGGGAGGCAGCAGUAGGGAAUCUUCCGCAAUGGGCGAAAGACUGACGGAGCAACGCCGCGUGAGUGAUGAAGGUCUUCGGAUCGUAAAACUCUGUUAUUAGGGAAGAACAAAUGUGUAAGUAACUAUGCACGUCUUGACGGUACCUAAUCAGAAAGCCACGGCUAACUACGUG